CCGUUCCCGCCGCCGGGUGGGAACGGGGAACGUUUGCGUUCACGUCGUUAGGCCAUUGGAGACGUGGAUGUGAACGUAUUUUUUUA
rnacentral:ncRNA from 1 species